GACGAACGCUGGCGGCGUGCCUAAUACAUGCAAGUCGAACGCAGUGGGGACGGGUGAGUAACCCGUGGGUAACCUCCCAUCAGAGGGGAUAACACUUGGAAACAGGUGCUAAACCGAUACUGAUGGAUGGACCCGCGGUGCAUUAGCUAGUUGGUGGGGUAACGGCUCACCAAGGCCACGAUGCAUAGCCUGCCUGGGAAGGUGUGUCGCCACACUGGGACUGGGACACGGCCCAGACUCCUGCGGGAAGCAGCAGUAGGGGAUCUUCGGCAAUGGGGGGAAGUCUGACCGAGCAACGCCGCGUGAGUGGAGAAGGUUUUCGGAUCGUAAAGCUCUGUUGUUAGAGGAGCGGUAACUAACCAGAAAGGGACGGCUAACUACGUGCCAGCCGCCGCGGUAAUAC
rnacentral:rRNA from 1 species